AGUGAACGCUGGCGGUAGGCCUAACACAUGCAAGUCGAACGGCAGCACAGUAAGAGCUUGCUCUUACGGGUGGCGAGUGGCGGACGGGUGAGGGAUACAUCGGAAUCUACUUUUUCGUGGGGGAUAACGUAGGGAAACUUACGCUAAUACCGCAUACGACCUACGGGUGAAAGCAGGGGAUCUUCGGACCUUGCGCGAUUGAAUGAGCCGAUGUCGGAUUAGCUAGUUGGCGGGGUAAAGGCCCACCAAGGCGACGAUCCGUAGCUGGUCUGAGAGGAUGAUCAGCCACACUGGAACUGAGACACGGUCCAUACUCCUACGGGAGGCAGCAGUGGGGAAUAUUGGACAAUGGGCGCAAGCCUGAUCCAGCCAUACCGCGUGGGUGAAGAAGGCCUUCGGGUUGUAAAGCCCUUUUGUUGGGAAAGAAAAGCAGCAGGUUAAUACCCCGCUGUUCUGACGGUACCCAAAGAAUAAGCACCGGCUAACUUCGUG
rnacentral:rRNA from 1 species